GAUGAACGCUGGCGGCGUGCCUAACACAUGCAAGUCGAACGAAGCAUCUUCGUGGAAGCCUUCGGGUGGAAGUGGGGAUGACUGAGUGGCGGACGGGUGAGUAACGCGUGGGCAACCUGCCCUAUACCGGGGGACAACAGCUGGAAACGGCUGCUAAUACCGCAUAAGCGCACAGAGUCGCAUGGCUCGGUGUGAAAAACUCCGGUGGUAUAGGAUGGGCCCGCGUCCGAUUAGCUAGUUGGUGGUGUAAUGGACCCCCAAGGCGACGAUCGGUAGCCGGCCUGAGAGGGCGGACGGCCACAUUGGGACUGAGACACGGCCCAGACUCCUGCGGGAGGCAGCAGUGGGGGAUAUUGCACAAUGGGGGAAACCCUGAUGCAGCGACGCCGCGUGAGUGAAGAAGUAUUUCGGUAUGUAAAGCUCUAUCAGCAGGGAAGAAAUAAGACGGUACCUGACUAAGAAGCCCCGGCUAACUACGUGCCAGCAGCCGCAGUAAAAC
rnacentral:rRNA from 1 species